ACAUCAUGUUGAAACAUUGGUUCCCAUAUGAUCAACGAAAGUUAAGCAAUGUUGAGCCUGGUCAGUACUGUGAUGGAUGACCGCUGAGGAAUACCAGUUGCUGUAAG